rnacentral:rRNA from 1 species
UGGGGAAUAUUGGACAAUGGGCGAAAGCCUGAUCCAGCCAUGCCGCGUGUGUGAAGAAGGUCUUCGGAUUGUAAAGCACUUUAAGUUGGGAGGAAGGGCAUUAACCUAAUACGUUAGUGUUUUGACGUUACCGACAGAAUAAGCACCGGCUAACUCUGUGCCAGCAGCCGCGGUAAUACAGAGGGUGCAAGCGUUAAUCGGAAUUACUGGGCGUAAAGCGCGCGUAGGUGGUUUGUUAAGUUGGAUGUGAAAUCCCCGGGCUCAACCCGGGAACUGCAUUCAAAACUGACUGACUAGAGUAUGGUAGAGGGUGGUGGAAUUUCCUGUGUAGCGGUGAAAUGCGUAGAUAUAGGAAGGAACACCAGUGGCGAAGGCGACCACCUGGACUAAUACUGACACUGAGGUGCGAAAGCGUGGGGAGCAAACA